rnacentral:rRNA from 1 species
GAUGAACGCUAGCUACAGGCUUAACACAUGCAAGUCGAGGGACCGGCGCACGGGUGAGUAACACGUAUCCAACCUGCCCUUUACUCGGGGAUAGCCUGUCGAAAGAAAGAUUAAUACCCGAUAUAAAGGAUGGGGAUGCGUUCCGUUAGGUUGUUGGUGAGGUAACGGCUCACCAAGCCUUCGAUGGAUAGGGGUGCUGAGAGCAAGGUCCCCCAGAUUGGAAAUGAGACACGGUCCAAACUCCUACGGGAGGCAGCAGUGAGGAAUAUUGGGCAAUGGGCGCUAGUCUGAACCAGCCAAGUAGCGUGAAGGAGGAAGGCUUAUGGGUCGUAAACUUCUGUUAUAUAAGAAGAGGUAUUAGAUGAAUAAGGAUCGGCUAACUCCGUGCCAGCAGCCGCGGUAAUUC